rnacentral:rRNA from 1 species
GGCUCAGAGCGACGCUGGCGGCAGGCCUAAUACAUGCAAGUCGAACGGUCUCUUCGGAGGCAGUGGCGGACGGGUGAGUAACGCGUGGGAACGUGCCCUUUGGUACGGGAACAACUGAGGGAAACUUCAGCUAAUACCGUAUGUGCCCUUCGGGGGAAAGAUUUAUCGGCCAUUGGAGCGGCCCGCGUUGGAUUAGCUAGUUGGUGGGGUAAUGGCCCACCAAGGCGACGAUCCAUAGCUGGUCUGAGAGGAUGAUCAGCCACACUGGGACUGAGACACGGCCCAGACUCCUACGGGAGGCAGCAGUAGGGAAUCUUGCGCAAUGGGCGAAAGCCUGACGCAGCCAUGCCGCGUGAAUGAUGAAGGUCUUAGGAUUGUAAAAUUCUUUCACCGGGGACGAUAAUGACGGUACCCGGAGAAGAAGCCCCGGCUAACUUCGUG